CUAAGGUAGCGUAAUAGGUCGUCCUUUAAUUGGGGAAAAGUAUGAAUGGUCAGAUGGUGGAAGACUUUAUUAGGGGUAGUAUUUUGAAGUUUACUUUCAGUGUGCAAAGGCCUGAAUAAUAUUAUUAGACGAGAAGACCCUGUUGAGCUUGAUAAAGUAUAGCCAAUUAGGCUGUAUAGUACGUUUGUUCGGGGCCGAGAGGAAGGGAUGAUUAUUCCUUCUUUGUCUGUGAGGAUCCAGCAAGGCUGAUAAGAAGAAGAUAGUUACCACAGGGAUAACAGCGCAAUCUUUUUGUCAAGAUCUUAUUUGAGGCUAGGGUUUGC
rnacentral:rRNA from 1 species